rnacentral:RNase_P_RNA from 1 species
GAAGCGAGAUGAGAUGGCCGCUGCCCAGCGCCACUUUCUGUUACGAAGCAUGGCAGAAUUAUCAAGUUUCGUGCCGGAAAGUGGUGCUGGGUGGAGGAAAGUCCGGACUCCGCAGGGCAGGGAGGUCGCUAACAGCGACCGCCCAGCGCCACUUUGCAUUGCAAGUCUGAUUAUAAAAUCAGAUUCAGCGCGGCAAAGGGGCGCCGGAUAGGGAAAGGGCCACAGAAAACAAACCGCCUAAAAGGCAGGGGCUGGGGGCUAGGUAUUAGGGGCUGGUUAAAUUAUUUAAUGCUUUUUACCAGACUCUAGUCUCUAGUCCCUAGUCUCUGUAUUUUUAGGUAAGGGUGAAACGGCGGGGUAAGAGCCCACCGCCCCGAUGGUGACAUCGGGGGCAGGGCAACCCCCUCCCGGAGCAAGACCAAAUAGGAAGGCAUUGAAGGAUGGCCCGUCCGCGCCUUCGGGUUGGUCGCUUGAGGCGCUGAGCAAUCGGCGUCCCAGAUGAAUGGUCAUCGCCCUUUUGGGGAACAGAAUCCGGCUUACGGUCUCGCUUCAGCG